rnacentral:rRNA from 1 species
UACGUAGGGGGCGAGCGUUGUCCGGAUUUAUUGGGCGUAAAGAGCGUGUAGGCGGCCAGGUAGGUCUGCUGUGAAAACUCGAGGCUCAACCUCGAGACGUCGGCGGAAACCAUCUGGCUAGAGUCCGGAAGAGGAGAGCGGAAUUCCAGGUGUAGCGGUGAAAUGCGUAGAUAUCUGGAGGAACACCGGUGGCGAAGGCGGCAUCCUGGACCAAUUCUGACGCUGAGUGAGCGAAAGCCAGGGGAGCAAACGGG